UAUUAUUGUCUCUCUAUCUUUCUUUCGCCGACCUGAACCUUUCUAUUUCUAUCCUUCCUCUUUCCACUCCAUGAAAGCUUAUUUCAAGGUUUUCCAGUCAUAAUCUGUCAUAUCAAAUUUAUUCCUCAUUCUUUUCAUUCUUUUUUAUUCCCUUUUCUCUGCAACAACUGUAUUUUUUGUCCAAAAAUUUUAAACUCUCACAUGGGACAAAGAUGAGACCCCAAUAGUUCAAGAGGUAGGAUAGUUCAAGAGGAAGGAGAACUGCAAAUUAUGAUUCAUCCAAUUUGUCUCUCCACUUGCACAAACUUGUUUUAGAGACAACAUUUAUCGUAACUUUAUUCCAGAGAAAAAAAUGAAGUUUUUUCCUACUGAAGGGCAAAGAGCGAGAAAGUUUUUGGGGCUUAUUUACUAUCACAUUUAGACUAAAUUCGCGCAACAACCUGAUGAAUUCAUUCCUACUUUUGUUCAAGAAUUUUGCUCAAACAUUGACAACGCUGAUAAUUGCACAUGGGUACGAGGUAAGAUCAUUUACUUCUCUGCCGAUGUGAUUAAUACCAUGUAUGGACUUGACGAAGUAGAUGACACUGCAAUAAUUGGUAUUCUUAUCCAUUCCAAUAUUGAUGAAAUGUUAAUGCCCUUUAUCCCUAUGGGAUGGAUUAGAUUUAUAAACCUAGUGGUGAGCUAGAUUUCUUUAGAGGAAUAAAUAUAUAUCGUGUUAGUAGAGCUUUAUUAUAUUUUAUUAACAGUAGUCUUUUUCCAGAUCCAAACCAUGAUAAAAUUUGAGCUAGAAGAGCAACAUUGAUUUUUGCAAUAUACAAAGGAAUGUGGCUAAAUAUUGGUAAGAUAUUUAAUAAAUAAACCAACUUAUGUAGAAGAAACAACAAUAUUAGAUCAUUUUACUUCCCAUGUUUAGUGACUACUUUGAUAAAAAAUGCUAAGGUGAUAAUUCUAGAGGAUUUUCAAAAGAUCGUCCCAAGAGAUCCUAUUACUAUGGCUUUUCUAGCUAGCCAGGGAGACACAACUAGGCCACAUCAUGAAGAACGAGCUUCCCUCAGCCAAAUACAAGUUAGAGAAGGUCAGGAGCAGGUAAUACGAGCUGCUUUAGAUCCACCUCAAACAAGGAGAGAAAGAAAGUAUGUUAUUGAAGAAGUUAGAAGACUGGAGGAGCAGAUGAUGACCAUGAUUGGUCGUGAAUAACAAUUACAACAUGAUUGUCACGACCCCAAAUUCCACCAAAGCCGUGACGAUGCCUAACACUUCUUGUUAGGUAAGCCAACAUUCAAUAAGCAGGAACAAACUUAAUUAACAGAAAUAAAUAGUCCCAACAGUGGAAUAAUCAUAAAUAACUGAAGCCAAUAGUAAUAACACAACUAAAACCAUCCCAUGAUCUAGUAUCAACAAGUACAUGAGUGAUAUAGAAAUUGUAAAUAUAGAGUCUGAUCUCGAGAUACAGUACUAUCUGAAAGAUAGAAAAAUAAUAAUAUAAACCCAGAGAAAAGGAGCUUCAAGGCCUACGAACAAAAACAUCAGCUACCUUGAAAUCUCUGAGAACUAGUACCGUUGCCACUCACUAGCAAUCACCUCUCUCGGCAGUACCUGAAUCUGCACAAAUAGUGCAGAGUGUAGUAUGAGUACAACCGACCUCAUGUAGCCAAUAAGUAACAAGCGUAACCUCGGACUGAAAGCUGUGUGAGCUUGGCAAGGUCCAAUAUUUAAAUUCCAUUAGCCAAUAAUAACGAUAGCUGAAUAAUAACGGCAACAGGAAAAGUAGCUCAAAUAAUAUUAAGUGCAACCUUUCACAAUAAGAAAAAAAUAAACAUGAUUUUCAAGAAUAAUAGUUAAGGUAUAAGUUUUCCACAUGAAUCACCAAAACAUGGUCUUAUCAAUUUAAUUAUGUUUUCAGGUCCCACAUCAAAUAAAAACCUCAAGUACCAAUAAGUAUGAAGGAAGAAACACAACUCGGUACCUGCAUGACAAGUAUACAUGUUAGAACCGAUAAUAUCGCAGUUAAAUCAUCAAGUAUGUCUAAUCUCAACACAUGUAUGGUGCAUGGCAUAAAUUCCCUUCAAUCAUCACACACACAACAACACCCAACACUGUACGGGGGCCUGACACAAGUCCCUCAUCAAGCACAUAUAUGACGCGUGUGCCUGCGCCCACGGUUAUUACUUGACUCCAGAGGGGCGGGUCCUUGCCCAUGCUCUGAUUAGAUCUAAGUCAAUGAUCAAUAUCACAUAGCCCAAUAUGGGUUUGGUGCAUGUGUCACCUCGCAAUCAUUACCACUCAGCCCAAUGUAGGGCUUGACGUACGCAUCACCUCAUAAUCAAUACCAAAUCGUCUCUAUGGCCCAAGUUUAGUCAUCAACCACUCAAGUCCCAAAUAUUCACAUCUCACAGUACUCAGCUCAAACCGUGUCACACAUAUAAGGGCAUCAAUAGCGUGUGAGAUAAUAUAUAAAGAAUGCAUAGAGAAAGAGAUAUAAAAUGCAGAUGUAAUAUCACGACUGAGAAUAUGAUUACAAUCAAGGCAAACAAAUAUAUAGCAAGAAUAGCCCUAUCAUGUCUCAACAGAUAAGCACAUAGCCUAGACAUAAUUUCUAACAUGAAUAAUAGCUCAAGUAGCCAUACACGUAGAGAAAACACGGAAAUAAUGGGCAUGAUAGCAAAAUAAGGCACAAAAUAACCUAAGGUCUACCCGGAUCAUGAAUAACCACUAUGUACGCAUAUAUGUCAGUCACGUAGUACGUGUGUCACCCUCAAUAUAUCCCAAAUAUCAUAGCCAACGGGAAAAUUACCCUCAAACUAAGUUUAGACAAGUUACUUACCACAAAACCGCAUGAAUCAUUUCUCCAGAAAGCCCUUUCCACCCGAAUCGAUUUCCAAACGGCUCGAAACUAGUCAAAAAUAACUCAAUAACAUCAAACACGGGUAUAGAAAUCAAUUCCAAAUAAUAAAGUUUCAAUCUUUCUCAAAAUACAAAUUCAACCAAAAUGCCAACUCGGGACCACUUCUCGAAACCCGAACAAAGUCACAAAUCCCGAUUACGUAUUUGAAUACGAGUCAAAAUAUACAAGUCUUUUCCAAAUUCGACAUUAAAUUGGGGUUUAAAUCUCCAUUUUUUACUCUCCAAAGCCAUAGUCAAAAAUUCCCAAAUUUCUCCCUUAGAUUUCAACAAUCAAAAGCCAAAAUUAAAAGUGAAAUUAAGAAUAAUAAUCAAAUUCGAGAAAACUAAUUUUUACGAGAAUAAUUAUUUUUACGAGAAAUUAUUUUUACGAGAAAUUAUACGGUGCAUUUGCGGACCAAAAGGUUAACAGAGUAAAAAUAAUAUCAUGUAAAAUAUAUAUUAAAAUAAUAAUGUAUAAUAUACAUAUUUUUAUAUAUAAUCAAUGUAUAUUUUUUUUAUAUAUUUAACUAGCGAAUGUAAUUAUUUUUAGCUGACCGUCCAAAUAUAUAGGAGCGGGUCAAGGUCAUUGGGUGUAUUAAAAGAUACAGGUGGGUUUAUUUAAUACAAAUAAUAUACAUGACGGAUUAAGAAAAUACCACAUGUCGAAGUUAAAGUCAAAAAAUUGACCAAGUUAGUUCUGUUAGAUAUAGAGGUAAGUUUGAGCCCAAAAACAAACGUUAGGGGCAUUUGCGGACCAAAAGGUUAACAGAUGGUAUUUUUGAGCCAUUUACAAUACGUUAGGGAUAUUGUUGGCCCUUCUGUUAGAUAUAAGGGUAAGUUUGAGCCCAAAAAUAAACGUUAGGGGCAUUUGUAGACCGAAAGGUUAAUCGAGGGUAUUUUUGAGCUAUUUUCAAUAUGUUAGGGGCAUUUUUGGCCCUUUUCCGUUAAAAGUAUUAUGCACAUCAAUUAUCGUUUUUGCGGUCCAAAUGUCGGUUCUGCGACAUCGCAUCUACGGAAAAUACCUCACAGAUGCGAAAAUCUUUUAAAGGACCAACCUACCGCUUUUACGGCUAAAAAUCCCGCUUCUGCGGAUCCGCAGAUCCGCUUCUACAGACAAAGAAGCGCACAUAUGCCCGCGCAUAUGCGCAUGGUCCAUCGCAUCUGCGGACUCUCUAUUUACUAGCCAUACUCAUAUCUGCUACCUCACGCCCGCUUCUACUGACUCGCACUUGCGGACAAACACCUUAUAAGUGCGAAAACACCAGACCUGAACUGCCAACUAUCUCCAAAAUGAUCUGGAAUCCAUCCGAAACACACCCAAGAUCCCUGGGACCCCGCCCAAUCACACUGAUCACUCCCAAAAUGUAACACGGACCUACUCGAGGUCUUAAAUCACACAAAGUAACAUCAAAAUCACAAAUCACACCUGAAUUCAAGCUUAAUGAACUAAUCAAACUUCUAACUCCCAAACUCAUGUCGAACCACGUCUAAUCCACUUGGAAUGAACCCAAAUUUUUCACACCAGUUCCAAAUGAUAUAAUGAACCUAUCCUAAGUCCCGUAUUAAUAAUAUGAUCCCGAUAGCAUCAAAGUUAAUUCCCGGUCACAACUAUAAACUUUUCAAACCUUCGAACUAGAAACUUUCCUGUAGUGGUUAUUCAAAUCAUUUGGGGCAGACUCAGUACCAACAACCACCCCCGCAGAGAGGUUAUUUCGAGUGUGGUGAUACUGGGCACAUUGUGAGAGAUUGUCCCAGACUUCGAAUGGGUGGACCUCAGCAGGGUACUCAAGUUAUGAUUUCCGCUCCAGAUGCUACUCCACCUGCACAUCCAGCUAGAGGUGGAGGACAGGCGGGUAAAGGCCAUCCUAGAGGGGGAGGCCAUGCCUGUUAUUAUGUUUUACCUAGUAGGAAAGAUGCAGUCAUUACACGUAUUAUUCUGAUCUAUCAUAGAGAUGCUUCAGUUUUAUUUGAUUUGGGUUCUACUUAGUCAUAUGUGCCAUCAUACUUUGCUUCAUAUUUGGAUAUGCCUCGUGAUUCUAUGGAUAUUCCUAUUUAUGUGUCUACACCCGUCGGGAUUUCUAUUAUGGUGGAUCGUGUCUAUUGUUCUUGUUUGAUCACUAUUGGUGGCUACGCAACUAGGAUUGACCUUUUGUUGCUUAAUAUGGUGGACUUUGAUGUGGUCUUAGAUAUGGAUUGGUUAUAUUUGUAUCAUGCUAUUCUUGAUUAUCACGCUAAGACCGUAAUGUUGUCUAUGACGGGGUUGUCGAGGUUGGAAUGGAAAGGUUCUUUGGGGUAGAUUCCUAACAUAGUGGUUUCUUUUUUGAAGGCUCAACGGAUGGUUGAGAAGGGGUGUUUGGAGUACUUAGCCUUUGUGAGAGAUGUUAGUGAUGAUACUCCAACAGUUAGCUCAGUCCUCAUGGUGAGGGAGUUUCCAAAUGUUUUCCCUACAGACCUACCGGGCAUGCCUCCCAAUAUGGAUAUUGAUUUUGGCAUUAAUUUGGCACCGGAAACUAAGCCUAUAUCUAUUCCACAGUAUCGCAUGGCUCCAUCAAAUUAAAGGAAUAAAUGCAAGAAUUAUUAAAUAAAGGUUUCGUCAGGCCUAGUGUCUCACAUUGGGGUGCACCAGGGUUGUCUGUUAAGAAUAAAGACGAGUCUAUGAGAAUGAGUAUUGACUAUCGGUAGUUGAACAAGGUGAAAAUCAAGAACAAAUAUCUAUUGCCAUGCAUUGAUGACUUGUUCGAUCAGCUUUAGGGUUCCAGGGUGUUCUCGAAGAUCAACUUGAAGUUAGGGUAUCAUCAGUUGAAGAUCAGGGUUUUGGACAUCCCUAAGACUGCUUUUCAAAUUUGUUAUGGGCAUUAUGAGUUUUUGGUGACGUCUUUGUCUUGACUAAUGCCCCCGCAACUUUCAUGCACUUGAUGAACAAUGUGUUCCAACCUUAUUUGGGUUCUUUUGUCAUUGUGUUCAUUGAUGAUAUUUUAGUGUACUCCCGUAGUAGGGAAGAGCAUGAGCAGCAUUUGAGGAUCGUGCUCCAGACUUUAAAGGAGAAGAAGCUAUAUGCUAAGUUCUCUAAGUAUGAGUGCUGGUUGGAACCAGUGGCAUUCUUGGGUCAUGUAGUUUCCAAUAAGGGGAUUAAGGUAGAUCCGAAGAAUAUUGAGGCAGUUCAGAAUUGGUCCAGACCUUCUACCGCUAUAGAGAUUCAGAGUUUUCUAGGGUUGGCUGGGCAUUAUUGCCGCUUUGUGGAGGGGUUUUCAUCUAUUGCAACCCUAUUGACUAAUUUGACACAGAAGGGUGCUCCAUUCAGGUGGUCAGACGAGUAUGAGGAGAUCUUUUAGAAGCUCAAGACUGCCUUGACAACUCUAAUUUUGGUCUUGCCUUCAGUAUUGGGUUCAUAUCCAGUCUACUGUGAUGCUUUACAGGUUGGCAUUGGGUGUGUGUUAAUGGAGGAUAAUAGGGUGAUUGCCUAUGCUUCGCGUAAAUCGAAGCCCCAUGAGAAGAACUAUGUGGUGCAUGAUUUGGAGUUAGCAACUAUUGUACAUGCACUCAAGAUUUGGAGGAAUUAUUUAUAUGGAAUGUCUUGUGAGGUGUAUACGGAUCAUUGGAGUCUUCAUAAUCUAUUUAAACACAAAGAAUUGAAUUUGAGGAAGCAGAGGUAGUUAGAGAUAUUGAAAUAUUAUGAUAUCAUCAUUCUUUAUCAUCCGGGGAAGGACAAUGUGUAGCAGACACCUUGAGUAGAAAGGCGAAGACCAUGGGGAGUUUAGCAUUUAUUCCAGCUAGGAAGAGGCCUUUGGCUAUGAAUGUUCAGGAUUUGGCUAACAGGUUCGUGAUAUUAGACAUCAUGUAGCCUAGCAGAGUCCUAGAUUGUGUUGUAUCUCCAUCGUCCUUAUUUGAGCGCAUUACAGCUUGCCAGUAUGAUGAUCCCCACUUGCUUGUCCUUAAGGAUACAGUGCUGUGAGGUGGUGCUAAGGAGGUAACUAUUGGUGAUGAUGGUAUAUUGCGGCUUUAGAACCGGAUUUGUGUUUCUAAUGUGGAUGGGUUGAGAGGAUUGAUUAUUGAAGAGACUCAUAGUUUGCGGUAUUCCAUUCAUCCGGGAGCUACGACAAUGUACCGUGAUUUAAAGUAGCAUUAAUAGUGGGGGAGGAUGAAGAAAGACAUUGUUGGGUAUGUUGCUCGGCGUUUGAAUUGUCAGCAGGUCAAGUAUAAGCAUCAGAGGCCUACUGGUUUGCUUCAGAAGAUUCAUAUACCGGAGUGGAAGUGGUAGCGUAUCACUAUGAACUUUGUGGUAGGUUUAACAAGGACAUAAAGGAGAUUUGACACACUUUGGGUCAUUGUGGAUAGACUGACCAAGUCUGCAUAUUUUAUUCCAGUUAUUACUUCCCACACUUCGGAGCAAUUGGGUAAGAUCUACAUCCGGGAGAUUGUUCGCUUGCAUGGUGUAUCUGUUUUUAUCAUCUCGAAUCGCGAAACACAUGUCGUAUUUUUGGAGAGCGGUUUAGUGUAAUUUGGGCAUGCCAGUUGAUUUGAGUAUCGCAUUACAUUCUCAGAUGGAUGGGAAGUCCGAGCGGACCAUUCAAAUCUUAGAGGAUAUGUUGAGCACAUGCACUAUUGAUUUUGGAGGUAAGUGACACCAGUUUCUACCCCUAGCAAAGUUUGCUUAAAACAAGAGUUACCAGUCAAGUAUCUAGAUGGCUCUGUAUGAGGCACUAUAGGGGAGGCGAUGUCGUUCUCUGGUUGGUUGGUUUGAGGUUGGUGAGGCCAGGCUAUUUGGCACAUAUUUGGUUUGUGAUGCUUUAGAGAAGGUAAAAUUAAUUCAGGAACGACUUCAUACAGCGCAGUCUAGGCAAAAGAUUUAUGCGGAUCGAAAGGUUCGUGAUGUGGCAUUCAUGGAGGGUGAGAAGGCCUACCUAAAGUUUCCCCCAUAAAGGGUGCGGUGAGAUUUGGGAAGAAGGGCAAGUUGCGCCCUUGUUAUCUUGCUCCUUUCAAGGUCUUUGUCAUGCGAUUGUGAUUAUUGUGAUGCACAAGGGGCGAAUUAAGGGUGGUGAUAUGCGCAUGUGGUGAAAUAAGAGUGGCAUUAUUGAUGAUGUUAUGUGAUGAUUUGGGGGUAAUCCUCUUGAUGAUGUGCAUGUGAUGAAACGAAGAUGAUAUUUGAUCAUAUACAUGUUUGUCUUAAUCACCGUCUUUUAUUUUUAUGAGUUGCUAGUUGAAUUUGACAUUCUAUUAUGUGCCUCCACUUUUAGUUGAUGAUUUGCAGUCAAAGUUGGACUCUCCUACGUUGAGUUGUUAUCACAUGUUCUAACGAGAUUGAUGAUACUACUAUUCGUUACAUAUUCUACUGUGAGUUUUUGAUAUAUUGAACAGGUUUUUCUUGAAUAGUGAGUAUUAUAUGACUUGAACCUCAUCACUACUUCACCGAGGUUAGUCUUGAUACUUACUGGGUACCGAAUAUGGUGUACUCAUACUACCCUUCUGUGCAUUUUUGUGCAGAUCCAGGUAUUGGAGGCAGCAUAUCUAGAGAGUGAGCGCUUAUAUUGGUCGCGAAGAUUCAAGGUAUAGAUGUAUGUUGUCGCAAUCCCUUGGAGUCUCAUCCUUUAUGUUGAUACUGUUAAUUUUACAUUCAAAUAGUAUUGUACUUUGAAUAUUUCUUAUGUGUUCAGUUAGAGCUCAUGACUCUGUACUGUCUAGUUCUGGAAAGUUGUGUGUAGUCGUUUUUGGCUUAUAUUAACUCUAUUUUCGCUUUUAUAUUACAUUUUGUCUUAUUAUAUCAUG
rnacentral:lncRNA from 1 species